GACGAACGCUGGCGGCGUGCCUAAUACAUGCAAGUCGAGCGGACAGAAGGGAGCUUGCUCCCGGAAGUUAGCGGCGGACGGGUGAGUAACACGUGGGCAACCUACCCUGUAGAUCGGGAUAACAUCGAGAAAUCGGUGCUAAUACCGGAUAAUCAUUUGAAGUGCAUGCUUCGAAUGUAAAAGACGGCUCCGGCUAUCACUACGGGAUGGGCCCGCGGCGCAUUAGCUAGUUGGUAAGGUAAUGGCUUACCAAGGCAACGAUGCGUAGCCGACCUGAGAGGGUGAUCGGCCACACUGGGACUGAGACACGGCCAGACUCCUACGGGAGGCAGCAGUAGGGAAUCUUCCGCAAUGGACGAAAGUCUGACGGAGCAACGCCGCGUGAGUGAUGAAGGUUUUCGGAUCGUAAAGCUCUGUUGUUAGGGAAGAACAAGUGCCGUUUGAAUAAGGCGGCACCUUGACGGUACCUAACCAGAAAGCCACGGCUAACUACGUGCCAGCAGCCGCAGUAACAC
rnacentral:rRNA from 1 species